rnacentral:rRNA from 1 species
UACGAAGGGGGCUAGCGUUGCUCGGAAUCACUGGGCGUAAAGGGUGCGUAGGCGGGUCUUUAAGUCAGGGGUGAAAUCCUGGAGCUCAACUCCAGAACUGCCUUUGAUACUGAAGAUCUUGAGUUCGGGAGAGGUGAGUGGAACUGCGAGUGUAGAGGUGAACUUCGUAGAUAUUCGCAAGAACACCAGUGGCGAAGGCGGCUCACUGGCCCGAUACUGACGCUGAGGCACGAAAGCGUGGGGAGCAAACAGG